rnacentral:rRNA from 1 species
AGUGAACGCUGGCGGUAGGCCUAACACAUGCAAGUCGAACGGCAGCACAGCAAGAGCUUGCUCUUACGGGUGGCGAGUGGCGGACGGGUGAGGAAUACAUCGGAAUCUACUUUUUCGUGGGGGAUAACGUAGGGAAACCUACGCUAAUACCGCAUACGCCCUACGGGUGAAAGCAGGGGAUCUUCGGACCUUGCGCGAUUGAAUGAGCCGAUGUCGGAUUAGCUAGUUGGCGGGGUAAAGGCCCACCAAGGCGACGAUCCGUAGCUGGUCUGAGAGGAUGAUCAGCCACACUGGAACUGAGACACGGUCCAGACUCCUACGGGAGGCAGCAGUGGGGAAUAUUGGACAAAGGGCGCAAGCCUGAUCCAGCCAUACCGCGUGGGUGAAGAAGGCCUUCGGGUUGUAAAGCCCUUUUGUUGGGAAAGAAAAGCAGCAGGUUAAUACCCCGCUGUUCUGACGGUACCCAAAGAAUAAGCACCGGCUAACUUCGUG